CGCCUGGCCUCUCCCCCGAGACCACACGGCCGCCUGGGUGUCUCAGCAGACAGCCUGCAGCUACUCACCGAGCCGACUCCCGUCUGAAGGAUCUUCAGUCCUGACACUUCUUCCAGUUUCUCCUUGUUGUCAGCUGCCGCCUCCACCGCAUCC